UGCUGAGGGAAACUUAAAUCGAAAAUGGUCACCCUGUCUGCAGAACAUGCAAAAAUAUUUAAAAAAUUAAAAAAUAAAUAAACCACUGCAAAAGGGGGCAACACUUCACAUCUCUUGAGUCAUUACUUUAUAGCAAAUGAAAGAGUGGGCGUGCAGCAGGCAAACCCAGUGAUGCUACUGGUCCCUCAUCUACAGUUGUGACACAAACACUCCAGCAAGCAUUUAAAAAGGCAGGCUGCUUAUGCACCCACAUCAAAAAAUGCUCAAGACCUCACUGCAGCCCUUUCAUAUUACAUUGCAAAGGACAUGAUGCCAUUUCAUAUUGUUGAGAAGCCUGGCGUUCUGAGGCUGAUGAAGGUUGCCGUGCCUCACUACAAAGUGAGUGCUGAUCAUUUUGUGUUAGUUUAUGUGGUUGUGUUCAUUUAAACCUGCACUAGGGAAACUUUUACUUAUCAUGGCCAGAUGCCAUCUUUAAUGUUAAUUCUGUUAUUUUAAUGUUUAUGCAUACAAAAAGUGCAUCGUAAUGCUAAUUUUAUUUGUUUGUUGGUUUUCAAUAUAAAAACUUGGUGAAAUGA